ensembl:lncRNA
CCACAGUACAGAGGAUGAAUUGGAGAGGGGCCCAUGUGGAGGGGAUCUUCGUGACCCAGGAAUCCAACCCAUGUCUUCUGCAUCUCCUCCAUUGCAGGCAUAUUCUUUACCCCAGAACCAUCAGGGAAGCCCUCUAGGAUUGUGGGAGCCCGCAUCACCCACUGAGCUGUCAAGAGCCCAAAUGGAACAAAAAAGUGAAGGAAGGGCACCUUUGCUUUCUCUCUCCUGGAGCUAAGACAUCCACCAUCUCCUGCCCUAGGACUCUGGCGCUCCUGGUUUGGAUGAGGUCUUAACAACAUCAGCUCCCUGAUUCUUGGGCCUUCAGGCUCAGACUGAAUUAUAUCAUCGUCUUUCCUGGUUCUGCAGCUUGCAGACAGCAGAUCAUGGAACUUCUUGG